rnacentral:lncRNA from 1 species
AUAAAGAAGGCUUUAUUAAAAUAAAAGCAAAAGUUGAUUCUGCUUCUGAAGCAAGAACAAUACAUUGAAAGGGAAAUGUACUGGCUGGUAGAAGCAGCUCUGCUGUUACAUACACAGGACAAUUAGCAAAUGAAAUAGAAAAAUUCUAAUGGCAUUACUGUUCUUAUUUUUCAGAAUGUAUUCUGCCUAUCAGGAAAACUGUCUGAAAGCUGAAGUUUGCUAGCAAUGCCCAAAGGAAAAAAAGGAAAAACCCAAAGGAAUAUUCCGCUUCUCAUGAUAUCUGUUGACCAUAACCUAAAUAGCAGAGGUGAAACUUUCAGUCAGAUUCCUUUAAACCCCUCUGAUAGUACACAGAAGAAUUCAUCAUGAUCUGUCUCCCUGCCAUGGAGUAACUUCUGCCAUACUUCAGUCUCUUCUCACUAACAAAAUCCUUAGAGAUUUUCAAAUCAAUGCCUAUGGAGGUUGUGGGGAAGUACAUCUACAUAAUUUUUCAGUAGUUUCAGUCUCAGAAAUGUCUCCUCUACUUUAAUUUUGACUGGCAGGAAAUAUACUUUCUAUCUGAAUGUUUUACACCUGAUUACUGCUCAUCUUGCCAAACUGUGCCAUAAUUUUAAUUGGUGUAUGAUUACCAGAUAAAGCUGGAAUGGUCCUAUUGUCCUCUGAGUGGAAUGUAUUGUUGCAAGGUCUGCUUCUUCCAUGGCCCAAGAGGUAUUUCUUUGCCUGAACAGAGUUUCACAACUCUGGGACUUGUUUGGAGCUCUCAGUCUUGUAGAAAGCCGUUAAUAAUCUGGGGAUUUUAGUGAGGAUGGGGAAAAAAGGAUACAGCAAUUUGUUCUGACCUUCUAAACACAUGGUAGCCCAUUUAACUGUGUUGCUCCAAUCACACUAAUAUUUGGAUAAAUAAUAACCAUACAUGCUCAGGUCAUCUUUUGGACAGCAAAUUCUCACCAUCUGACUAUCAAGUGGCAGUUCCUUGCUAAGGGCAACAGGGUUCUUCUUGUCAUAGAAAUUACUGCAUCUGUGUAGAUCAAGAGCAGCACAGACUUGGCCGGCAGGACAUUUCCUAGCUCAGUGGUCUCAAUGUAUAUGUAACAACAGGUCACUUUUGGGAUAUUGCAAAAUCCAUUUUUUAAAAUUAAUUAUAUAAACUUUAGGGAUUUGUAUUAUGAUUUUACUAUAAAGUAUUUCAACAACUUGUACAAUUCAAAUAAAAACUCACCAUACCAUUAGAUUGCA